CCUUUGAAGACCCAGUCGAAGGUGGCUUGCUCGCCUCGCCCGCUGAACUCCUCAGCCUGGUCCACCAGAGCCUCCCUGACGGCAUCAUGUCCACACAGCACCACGACCCGCCGGGGCCCCAAGUGAAUGGUGAACACGGGGCCAUAGCGCUCACUGAUCUGAUGGAGAUCUACAGAGGACAGAAAACAGACAGUGGGCAGGGGACAUGUGUGAGUGGCCCUGAACUCCCAUCUCUCCUGCUCUGUGUACUUAGUUCCCCUUUCUGGAUUUGGUUUUCCUGCCAGUGGAAAGGGAGUGUUUGGGAAGAGAAGAUCACAUUCGAGGGUGAGUUAAGUCUCCUUUAAGAAUGAUUCCUGCUUUGUCAGGGGCUACUACUAUUAGCAGGCAGAGGGAACAGUGGCAGAAGAGAUUGGGGUAAACUCCAGUAUUAGGCACAGAGGCAGAUCCUGGGGUGGGUGUGAGUGGAGAAGGGAUGAGUAGCCCUCCUGUCCUUCCCUCAGGGAAAUUCUUCCUUAGUAAACAGGACAGUUACCCUUUGGUGAGCAUGGUCGUAUACGGGAAGAUUAAGUCUAGGUGUGUAUGAUCUGGUUGAAUCUUUGUAACAAUGAGGUUGGUUCAUCAUGAUCAUCCUCAUUUUGAAGAUGAGCAGAUCUAGACUCCAUAAAUCCUCUUGAGUGAGGUCACACAGGGAGUAAGUGAGGGAGCUGGGAUGUGAACUUUCUCCUCACCCCCCUUCAUUGACUGGCCUAGAUCACCCUGGGAGUCAAGUGCAGGCCAGCCUUAGCAGGAGGUGAGUGCUGGGACUGGCAUCAGCAGUGGACACACUGAUGACAUUGGUGGGUUCUGAUAUCAGCAUCAGGUAUGGCCAGGGAGGGAAAGGCAUCGUGUUGGCUUUGGGACUGCCCCCAGGUGUAUGCGAGGAUGGGAAACAAGUUGGCACUGAACUUGACACCAGGAGAAUAUUGAAGUCAUGUUUGGUGCCAAGAGGGCUCUGUGUGUUGUCUCAGGUGUCAUUGAGGGCAUAAGAGUGUCCUGCUUCAGGAGGGCGUAAGGGUGGCACCAUAUAGGGUCUGAGGUUGGUCCCAGUGGGCUGUGACAUGAGCAUGAG
rnacentral:lncRNA from 10 species